CAGUCGCCGCGGGAAUACGUAGGUCCCGAGCGUUGUCCGGAUUUAUUGGGCGUAAAGCGAGCGCAGGCGGUUAGAUAAGUCUGAAGUUAAAGGCUGUGGCUUAACCAAAGUACGCUUUGAAACUGUUUAACUUGAGUGCAAGAGGGGAGAGUGGAAUUCCAUGUGUAGCGGUGAAAUGCGUAGAUAUAUGGAGGAACACCGGUGGCGAAAGCGGCUCUCUGGCUUGUAACUGACGCUGAGGCUCGAAAGCGAGGGGAGCAAACAGGAUUAGAUACCCCCGUAGUCCCUGUCUCUUAUACAC
rnacentral:rRNA from 1 species